rnacentral:lncRNA from 1 species
CUUGCUGCAGCACACUCUCUAAUCGAGCUGUAACAGUCGCCACUGCGGUCCACGACUUCAUUCCUUGAAGCCCGUGAGACCACGAACCCUUCGAUUGAGAAGAACCUUCGGUCGGAAAACUUCUCGUCUCAGUAACAAUAACAAGACAAACAACCUAGACUAGACGCACAUCAGGAAGACAGUGUCGGCCACAGCCGCAGAAUAAACAUGUGGAGAAGGUCAUUGAUCACCUUGACUGCAGCACUGCAGACAAGAUAAAGAGAGCCUGAUGCAGAGGAAGACUGAGGACUAAGGGACCUCAUCCACAGAUGGCAUUUUCCAGACUGGGGCGGCUCUCUGUGUUAGCAGGCAGGACCUUCUGUUACUUGGAUCAUUCUACAAUAACAUUUAGAAGCAGUGGAAUAAAAUCGCAAAAUGAAA